GAGAGACAGGCCUGUAGAAAAGUACUGAGUAUGUUAACAGUGUCAAGUAGAGAACAGAGAACCCUUCCCCCUAAAUUUCCUGACUGCAUAGGUGUCGGAGUUCCCUGAAGUUCUACUGAAGUCAGUAAAGCAAAGCUCAUCCUACUCCACAUUAAGAAGGGAACUAGGUAGAGGUUGUCUCAACAGGUUGUCUCAACAGCUCACAGGGCCUGUUUGUGAACAUUGUAUGCAGUCUCUUAACUACUUCGGAGACAGAGCUUACCCAGAGUGGGUUCAUCAUGCUGGGAGGAUAACAUUUUGUGUAUUUCCUUCAGAGCUACACUAUGUGCUUUUUGGAUUUCAGAUUGUGAAUGAAACUCUCUGCUUUGGAUCAUCUGAUCUUUUACCUCCAUCACAGGCAAGUGCAGUGCAGAACUACUGCUCCUUCUUUGUUGUUUCACCUUUGAAAUAAAACUUACAGCAAGUCUGCAAAUAUAUUGUCUCUCUGCCUGAUAAAUCAGGUACUGCUCCAAGGAGAGGAAUUGCUGAUAUGCUACAAUUGGGAAAAUGGGAUCUAGAAGGUAAAUUUCCAAAGGUAAGCUAAUUCUUAGGAGCACUACCUUUAGCACACGAUUUAAGUUAUCCAAGGCAGUGUCAAUCUUAUGACAGCACAUUCAGAUACAAAUUUUCCUGGAAAACCUUUUCCACCAUGCACUUAGAUUCAUCAACCCAACUCUUCAAGCCACUAGAACUUAAGAAGUCUGAUUUUCUUAUACAUUCAAUUAUACAUUCUAAAAUGCAAUGGUAUGUGAGGUUAUUUUGUUUCUCUACCUAAACUUUCCACAUUUCAGAUAAAAUCAAGUAUAAUAAUUAUAACCAUAUACACUUAUGCUGCUGGAAAAUAGCUGAUUCUCUCACGUGUAAGAAAUAUGUAUUCAUUCAAAUCUCGUCAGUUCAUUAGAGAGCAAGUGAAUUUCACCCAGAGGGCAACAAAUGAUAUGUUGAUAAAUCCAAUUAUCAUAAUUUUGUUAGAUUGACUGCCACAAUGGGAAAAUACCUUGCUAAAAAUACAAGACUUUAAAAGAGAAAUAUAAAGCAAGUCUAUUAU
rnacentral:lncRNA from 1 species